GUUGCCCAAAGGAAGAGAAAGGUUGCUAUGCAGCCCAAAAGCAAACGUCCAUGACGUGGGGAGAGCGCAGGCAGCACAGGGAAUUUAUAUCUGACCCACUGCCCUGUAAGCUUCUUGGCUAUGAGAGAAGUCAUCAAAAAGAAAAUGCAGUGGAUAAGGACUAUGCAGUAUUCGUGAACAUCUUGAGCCUGAAAAUGAAGAACUCACCAUUCUGUGAAAAUGUGAAUUCAUCCGUAGAGCAUUAAGAUAUUAAUGAGAACUCUGCCACCUUCAGGGAAGGCUGCAUAUGCCUGAGGAGUUGCUGAUCCCAGGGACUCUAUCUUGUCUGGAGAAUUGGUUCAAUUGGGGUGUCCUAUUAGUCUCGGAUGCUAAUUAAUUAAUAAGUAUAUAUUUAGUGUCUUCUCUUCCCUAGCUCUGUGCUGUGGGGAGGAUUGGACUCCUGACUUCAAGGGAGUUGUUAUUCAAUUCAACAAGCAUUAAUGUACCAUGCAUGGUGCUAAGGAUUAGGGUCAUACAGGUAAACAGAUUGAGACCUACGCCUUAGAGAUGAGACAGUACACGAUGGUCUAUAACAAAGCAUUACCUCGUGCUCCUAGGGACUGCUUUAAAUUCUGUACCUCCCAUGCCGUGGAAGAUCUGUGAUUAUUUGUGUUCUGUGGUAUUUCCGUGAUCCAACUUUAUCUCUACUGCACUUUAUUUGUAAAGUCAACUCUUGGGCUUUCGCUCAAAACUGACCAGUAUUUACAAAUUUACACACUUCUUUCUGUCCAAAAACUCUCUGCCUCUCUUUCUUGCCCAUAGCUUAGGUCAAGGUUUGCUUUCUCUUACGUCUAUCAGCAAGAUACAUACUUGGGAAGGGGCAGUGCCAUCUUUGGUGUAUUUUUCCAUAUCUGUGGGCAGUAAUGUCAGAUAUAGAGCUGUGACCCCACCCAGAGAAUACAGCAGAAGGGUCUAGGGACAGGAGGGAAGAAUAGCGGGGUUUCCAAUGACACACAGGAAGGACACGGGGGGGUGAGUGCUUUGUUCUGGAACUGCAUGUCUGUGUUUGGGUGCAUAGGCUAAGAAAGGAACUGGUUGCUCAGGGGCCUUGUCUUGACCCGGUAAGUGCCCUCUGGGCAUUUGUAUGAUGGGAGAUUAAU